UGUAAGGUCUGCUUCCUUGAGCC
rnacentral:piRNA from 1 species